CCCACGUCCUCAUGUAUUUCCUCUCUCUCCCUCUCCUCUUCCUCACGUAGAAAACCCUCUCUCAUCACAGUCAAACAUAAUCAGAACGAUGAUAGAAGAAACCAGGGAGAAGGAAGAAGAACCCAAGUACUCACACAUUUGAACCAGGAAGAAGGAAGAAAAAAUAAGCAACCAAACGCCUCUGCUUCCAUAUCCGCCCUAUUCACUGCCAAACUUCGAUACCAAGCUGUUGUUUGCGUCGAUUGAGGUUUGUUUCACAGCACUUUUAAAAAUUGCGAUUGUGUGAUGUUCCAUGUGAAUUUUCUAAUUAUACUCAUGAAUUAAUUGCGAAUAUUACCUUUAUUUUGGAGUUAUAGUACUUAGGAUACUGAUCGUUGAAUUGGAAUUCUUUCUGCUUCUUUUCCAUUGUAAUUUAUCAUUGACUUAUAUUCAGUGUAAAAAAUAGAAAUGGGGGAGAAAAUGGCUCUUUCUUUCACUACAUUACCAUGGGGGUGGUUGGCCUGUACAAAGAAAGAGCAAGUUUCGAAUGGGACAUCAAUGAAUUUGAUAAACUUUUCCUUCACCCCAAUUGCAGCUUCCUUUCUCCGUUUUAGUCGAAAAGCUUUUCCAGAAAGUGCUGGAGCCUUUACUUUUUAAUUCUCAAUUUUCUGGAAGGAGAAUUUAAGGGACACUGUCAAUCAAACUAUUAAAUAACAAAACUGUAUUCAACAACAACGAAAUAAAAAAGGAUGGUUUACAUCUAUCAAUUAAUUUAUAUCAUGUGUAACAAUGGUAUGCUGGUAAUCGUCCAUUUAUAUGGCCUUGUGGGAUUUGAAAUUAUUAAAUGCUAACUUGAUGGAGUCGUAUUGUGCUUGUUUUCAUAUAAGGAUGGUAUUUAAGCUCCUAGCAUAUGAUAAACAUCACUCGAUCUUGAUGAUUUGUCAUUUUAUGUUGAGUUGAAAUGAUGUAGUGUUUAGUUUUCUUGGCCAUGGUCCAUUUUUCAUGUAUUGACUCAUCAAAAGUAGUUGCUUUCCUGUGUGUUUCGGGCGUCAUUCCCUCUCCUGAUUUAACAAGUGCAUAAUGUAGCAAGGGUUGUCGCACACCUUUUAGUUAACUCACUUGAAUAUUUCGCAAUUUUAAAGAGAUCCUCAAUUGUUUAUGAAGUUGAGAUAGGUACACAUUUGCUACCCUGUUACAUUUCUAAUACUUAAUGUCUAUUACAAUUUUGGCCAAAGUGCUAUAAAUGAAUUUUAAAUUAGUAGUUACUUAUGAUAGGUACACGUUGCUUGAUUUAUGAUGGCAUUUAAGAGCUUUGUCUUUUCGGACGGUUCAUAGAUUUGUUAAACUUGGUAUAUGCUUUCUAGGGUGAUUAUAUAAUCAGUGAAACUUUUGAAACAUAUAAAUUUACACGCCUUGUGCAUGGGGUACCGUACUUUUUGUUGUAUACUCUAUCUGCCCUAUUCGCUGCCAAAAUGGCUUGAUGAAAAUUUUUAUCAACUACAAACUUUUUUUUCCUAAUGGUGAUGGUGUGUAUGGAUCCCCAAAAUUGGCUCCUGCUGAUAUAGAGGAAGAUAAGAUAUCAUGACAGGAGAGAAAUGCUUUUAGAAAAGAGAAAAAAUAUGCGACAAGUGAAUUGUAAAAUUCAUAUUUAUGCAUCUCAUGGUAUAACCAUUAAUCUUGAAUUCUUUAUCCUGAAUUUAUUUUUUUUGCGACUAGAAGCUAGUGAAAAAAUGGAGAUAUUCAGGGGUUCCAAAUAUUUAAUGAGGCCGUGAAGCAUAUUUGGUCCAUCAAAGAAAAGAAGAAUUGAAUGAUCUAUUAGGAGGUACUUACAAUUGUAACCAGUGAAAGAUAAAUAUAAUGCAUCAGUAACUUUGUAUUUCUAAUAUUGCAAUUUGUAAUGUCAAGGGGAAAGUGAUGGACUGCCAAAAUUUGCCUAUUUCUAAGAUAUGCUUCUCUCUGAUACAGAGAUCCAAUCUCAAUCUAUACAUCAAUGCUAUUCACUGUGAGCUUCAACCAUUUGCUUGUACCAUUCCUGGUUGUGGGAUGAAAUUUGCAUUCAAACAUAUCAGGGAUAAUCAUGAAAAAUCUGGGUGCCAUGUUUAUGCCCAGGUAAGUUUGGCCUUAUUUCCCAAUUUUACAACUCGACUAUCAGUCCCUUUUCCAUUCUGAGAGAUGUCUUGGGCAAUUAAAAUUUAAACUAAUCUUUGAGUCUUGCUCUGUUAAGGGAAAUUUUGAAGAGUCCAAUGAGCAAUUCGUCUAAGACCAAGAGGUUUCAGGAAAAGAACAAGCCUAGAGAUUGAAACCUUGAUGCGGAAAAGGGUUGUUUCGCCUAGUGAAUCAGGUCUCAUGAGACAGGAGGGACCUGAAUACUUGUCGUGGCUACUUUUUGGAUAUUCACAGGAUUAAAUGAUUGUUGGGAGAAGACGGAGAUGCUGCCAUCAAACAUAUGUAAAAGUAUGGUAUUCACAGGAUUAAGAGGACUUGCUUGGAGAAUUCAACAAACAUAUGUAUAAGUAUGGUAUCUUUGUUGAUUUUAAUUGCUACUAUCAUACAGUAGACAUGUUUU
rnacentral:lncRNA from 1 species